GCCCCCGGCAGCGGCACACUGGAACAGGUUGCUUAAGGAGGUUGUGGAUGCCCCAUCCCUGGAGGCAUUCAAGGCCAGGCUGGAUGUGGCUCUGGGCAGCCUGGUCUGGUGGUUGGCAACGGUUGGUGAAAGGUUUCUGUAGGUCGGUGGAAGUCAUAGGAAUGAAGGACAGCUGGACCUUCGAGCACAGAGCGAUACAACAACAAACUGCACCUGGCACAGAGGCACAGGAUUUCUAAGAAGGGCUCACGACUUCAGGGAACACAGCCAACCCAGCCCUACUUUCGUCAGCCACCGCACACAUGCGGCAUUCGUCAUACAGCAGCCUCACUCCCAGCUCCUGUUCGGAAUGCUCACUGUUUGUGAAGUCUUCACGGAGGAUUCUCCAUCUGAUUUCAGAAGGAAACAGCCGGACUGCAAGAAACGCACGUGACACGUCCAAGAACUACAGCCUUCGGAUCUACAAAGCUAUUGCAGCCUCACACGUCAAGGACCACCCUGCUCUGCUAUGACACAGUCAUAUCCACCUACUGAGCAUGCAGAAGCUGAACAAUUUGUAAGCUGGGCCCUAUCUUUUAGAGAGGCAACUGGCCUUAACUAACAAAUUAUUGAUGACUGUGUAAUUCUCCAUCAGAUUAAUAUGUCCCAGUUAAUUAUCUUAACUACAAAGAAUUACUGGAUGUUAUUUACACUGUGAACUUUGCUGACACCAGAGCCAUGAUCCAUCUUUCACCAUGUAUUUGCCAAACAGAUUAAAAAUCCCCCUGGUACUGAGCAUCUCAUGCCAGUACCGGUGCUUGCAGGUUGUUCCAAGCAGCUUUUUGUCUUCUCCAUGCCAUGCUGAAACGCUGAAUCUUCUUCCUUCUCAACCAUAGUUUGCCCCAAGUUCUGCCCAGAUGGAUGGCAACCUUGAGAUCUCUCACCAGAGCUACACAGCACAUUCUCUGACAGCGAUCUCAAGAAUGACAGAAGAAACCACUCUCUCCAUAUUCUUACACUUACCUAUUUUAACCUAUGCAGGCCUACUGAAAGCAGCAUUAAUGAGUCAUACUGUUGAAGUUUCUAGCUAUAAACCAGCAUGCUCUGCUGAAAUAGUCUGCAGUGGCCCUUUUCCAUGACUCCUACUGCCUCCAGCCCUUAAUUUCACAAUCUUUUCCACCUGUAGAUAAUCUUGCUCUCAAAAUUCCUUUCUUCACAUAGCACCACUUGCACAAGUUCCUGUGAAAAUUAUAUUCCAACAUAAAGUACUGAGCUAGUAAGGGAGGAUCUGUACACAUCACAGGAGUACUACAGUGUAAACAAGCAUGAUAUUAAAUGAUAGUUAUUAGGCAGCGCGGUAAGUAAUGCUUGUUCUACAACCAGCUUAGUGCAGCUGUUCAGCCUAGCACAGCCAGCCUUCCUCAGGCACACAAAUGGCAACAAGUUGUUUCCUCAUCCCAGCCAGCAGCACUGCUACUUUCUCUCACAAAGGGCAGAAAUAAGACCACAGUGCAUGGGGCUCCCGGAUAAACUUGUGUCUGAGCGUCAUGCUUGAGUAAAGCACCUCAGUAGUACUGGAAGAGAAGACUUCUUUUUCUGCAUCAAGUGGAAACCUAAGGGAGGAAGUCUCACCCAUCCAGUUACAUCACAUUAGCUGCAAAGCAGAAGAGAAGGUCAAUAAGGAAAGAAAAACCUCACAUUUAGUCAUUCAAAAGCUGAGACCUCUUGUCCAAAAUUAUUUAAUAGUAUGCUAACCUUGGUGAUACCUUUCUAUUUUUAAUCAGUAGGUUCCAGCCUCAGUAGUUCAGUAACGCUAGCCUGUACAUUUAUGAUGAGCUUAUGGUGGACUUGUUAGAGCAAUUCCUCCUUUACACUUCAGCAAAAAUCCCCAGACUAUUAUCAGGUACUACAUGCUCUCUAAUAUUUUAGUCUUUGAUGAAGUGAAAAGUAAGGCAUUAGAAGGCAGUGGGUUGAACGUUUCCAAUAAAUACGGAUGACACGAUUGAGAAGACACAGCCAGAAGACUGGCCUUCAUCAGUACGGUUCCAGACAGGAAAAGCAGAGAAGCAGAGCAUAUAAGGCAGUUUAUAACCAGGACACAAGAUACCACCUCUCAGGCUACAAGACCAGAGAAACUGCUCCAGUAGUGCACAGCUGAAAGGUGUCCUUGACUAAUUUCCCAGAGCCCCUGGGCUCCCCAGCUCUCUCACCACCACUUGCUACAUUAAUUGCUGUCUCCUACAUCUUCUGUCCACCUCCUGUGCUCUGACACUAGCUGUUUCUUCCUAGGGUGAGAAUUACAGCAGGGCCAGCAAGAUAUCCUGGAGGAUAGUAUGAAAGAAAUUUAAGAACCACUACAGCAUAUUGAUUUUAUGUUUCCUAAAUAUGUCUGUUUAAUUACUACAUAUUCAAACCAUAAAUUACUUUAAUGCAUAGCACGAGCCGAUUUACACAGCACCACAUGUAUUACACUCAAAAGCAUUUGAGGCAAACUAAAUGAGCCCAGAGGAAGGGAGAGACACUGUGAGAGUUCACUUUGCCUGAGGACAGCACAGCAAAAGUACCACUGGAGCCUCAAGUAGAAACAAGGGAAAGCUGGCACUACUGCUGCAAGAAGCACUCUUGUUAUCCCUGAGCCACUCAUUUCCACCCACCUGCUGGCACAAAGGUGGGAAACCAACCUCAAUUAAAAUUUGGCAAAAAAAAAAAAGGGGGGGGGGGGGAGGGGGGAAGUUUAGUUUUAACCCACAUCAGUCCCUUGAUUGGGUUUACCACACAGAAUCUUCUGUAAACAAAGGGGGGAAAAAACUGCCAGAAGGAGAACUGCUUCUUGAGCAGAAGUGCCAGCCUACCCCAUGUUAAACUGCUUCUGGAAGAGCUGUACAAGAGAAGCACAGGGAUGAUUCAGUAUCUAGAUGAUUUCGUACUCAACCUCACAUGUAGAACACUUUGCACUUUGAACCUAAGGACUUAAAACCACCCCAGCCUCACAAAAAAAUCCAAGGCAAAGUGCCUAGAAGAAAGUACAUCAGAUUGCUUUUUUUUUUUUUUAAGCUAGUUACAAGUAGACAGGAUUUCUAGUUACUUCUCAGCCAGAACAGUAAUAUAAAUUUACUGUAUCAGCUGAAGCCCAGUUGGGUCAGCUGUGCAUUCCAGCUCAGUAGAGGCUGUAAGAAAUACCCAAUCUUUACUGGCAUCCCACACAGGAGGUAGCAGUCAACUGUAUUCAUUGUAGGCGUCAAAGCUUCCGGUUCAAUGGAGAUGCAACAUCCCAAGUCACCCAAUGCAAGUAAUACAUUUUCAUAUGGAGGAACUAGGACUCCUGGCUCAUCAUAUCAGGCCUCUCAUUACAUGCAGUGUUGUACCCUUACCUAGAUGGAGUACCAGCCAACUGGAGCCACUCAGACAACAUUCACUGCAAGGCUGUUCCCAAGCCAUCACUGUUCUCAUAGUUACACAUUCUUCUGAUUUCCACCCAAAUUAAUUCCAGUUCUAACCAUAUGCUCUUUCAGUACUUGAUGCGAGUCAAUACUCCUUACCCACAGCCUCUAUCUUUAGAGAGCUACCAUGCCAUUCAGCUUUCAUUCUAUCUAAAGGCAAGAUCCCAGCCUCCUUCUUUAACACUGGCUCUUAGUUCCUGCUACUGUCACACCAGCUCUUCUUCACACUCCUUCACAUUAAUUCUCCUUAAACACAAUUGACCAAAACUGCUGACAGCACUCUGAACACAAACCCUGGACAAGAGCAAAAGCUUUUUCUCAUCUCUACUGGAAGUAUUUUCCUGACAUAACCUACAUUUGCGUUUCAGCAACAUAAUAUGACUCAGUUGCUGAGAAAAACCACACUCAGAGGUGAACUGGUUUCUGGUCCAUGAGGCAUACAGCAACGUUGCCCAGCUACAUCAGAGCUGAGCAAAGUGUGAAUCACGAAAUCCUGAUGGAAAUGGGAAUUUACAGAGGUGCCAUGGAGAAGUUACUGAAACUGGAUGCAUGCCCAGAACAUCAACGUGAAUACUCUGGCUCUUGCAUGCAUUGGCCUAAACUCCUUUAAGCACUUGCAGGAAAAACAAAAAGCGCACACCUUCCGCAGGAACAAAUGCAAUCCAAUUAAUUAUGUUGCAACUGCAUUCCUUCACCUGCAGCCUACUAACAGAGCUGCAAUUUGACCACAGUUGAGUUACUUUUCCUAUAAUGGCUUAAAUUCAGACCGGUGGAAGUAACAGGGUUAUGUGAGAGAUCAGCAUUUGCUUAUGCUGUUAAGGCUCUACUUUGCUCUUCGAUGCACACUAAAGCAGAGCUGCUAUAAAGAAGCUCAUAAGAAGUUGAUUUCCAGAGUUAGAGCUCAGGAGUAAAAAUAAUCCAGUGACAGGAACAGCCAGCAUUGUACACCAGUUUAGAGCAGACUUUAGAGAAAAAGGGGAAAUUCCAAAUUUCUUAAGAAUCUCAGCCUCAUUCAACUUUAAGCAGUGUGAGUCCCUCCCCAGAGGGAUGUGCCUGACUGAAACAGAUCUCUUUGUAACUGAUAGCUGGGCCUAGGCUUAUUUAAAGCAUCUGGUGCUCUAAAUUUAGCUGAACUGUAUCAGCAACUUGCAAAAUGCACUGAGGUACAGUGGAAGAGGCAGGAGAGGGAGCAGGGGGAAGAAGACCGCCUGAACAAAUGAAAGGACUUCAGAGAAGGUGACAAAUCAGCAAUUCUCAUAAGCUUGGAGCUUCCUCCCAUAUAGGCUCAGCUUAGCGCCAUGCUGUGUAAAGGCAAACAAAUCAACAGAUCUGCCUAAGCUCUGUAAUGCUAACUUGGGAAGGAGUGGAGAGAAGAAUACUCCCUGAUCUUGUGAGAAGCACAUACAGCUUCAGGACCUUGGAAGGUUUGCGUCACGAUUUCACGAAGCAGUUAGAGGUAUGAGAACUUACCUAUAACUCUUCAUUGCAUUUAAAUAUGCUGAAUUGGUACUUUGGUGUUACAUUCAGCAUUCUUCAGCUGUGGUGCCAUUUCCACAGAGCCAGCUAUAGUGCUAGCCAGCACCAUGAUGUCCCAUUGCAGCAGUUGCCUUCUGCAUUGGGCUGCUCUGGAGGCUUUGUGGUCAGCGAGUGGGAUUGCUAGAGACUAUAAGGUGUGCUGAACUGCAACACACAGAGGCUUGGAGGCAGUCUUCUGAUACGUAUAUACAGAAUAUAUAUAAAGGAAAAAAAGCUAUGCAUGACUUUAAGACAGUGGUACCACACACACACGACCCAGCUCCCUACUUUGAGCAAUUCUUCACCAUGUGGCCAAGAUAUGCUGCCACAUAAUACCACCAACGUGCAAUUCAGAAAAUCUGUAACCAAAAUUCAAAGCUACUGAGCAACAGGUGAAUUGGCAACACAUUGCCACUGUGAAAGCAAUAAAGGAUAGGGGAAAUUAUUUACACCUGCUCUACAAAGACUCAGUUUACUACAGACAACACUACUUGAGUCCUUCCCAUUGCUAUUUUUCCUCAAGCAAACACAGUCUAAAAUAGAUUUUCAAAUUCCAGAACUAACAAUAACAACAAUUAUGAAUGCAAUAAGUGGAAAAAAAAAAAAAAAGUGGCCCUCUAGAGAUUCAUGAAGUUCACUGAGAGAACAAGGAAUUACCUUCGUUUUUCAAAUCACGUUUAAGGGAAAAAAAAGGGAAACAUAAUGGGUUUCUAAAUUACUAAAACCAUUCAGGAGAUGAGGGAAGAUUGAACAUAAUGCCAAGCAGCACAAAAGCAGGUGGGAGACAAUGGUAAUUAUGAAGUUAGAAGCUGGUGUUUAAGCCAUCAAAGUAAAAACAAAACAAUUUUAAGCAGAUUACCAAAAAAAAAAAAAAAUCACUUUCCCUGAACUAAGAGGUCCUCUGUAAAAGAGGUCACCUAACAUACUUUGAUGACAGAAACACGAAUCCAAGUGCUGUUAACACAUUACGUGUUACUUUGAAUUCAGAGAGCUAAGGAAGAGGGCUGCAAGCACUGCGUUGAGAACCCAAACUUCACCAUCUGAGAUAUCAAAGUGUCAGUGAACCUGCCAGUUGCUUUUUUAAUUCCUCCUCUGCCAAAGUAGAAGGUUUACAAUUCCAGCUGAUACUAUGUCUCUUUGUGCUUCCCAAAUCUCUCUGUGCUUCAUGUUGUGUGUGUUACUAUGCAACACAGGCGCUCCCAGAAAGAAGAUGCUCAGAUGGAGUCAGUUUGUCAACAGAACUGGUCCACAGUUCUGAAUUAAAUACUGGAGACAGAUCCAAUCCCUUCAAACAACACAUUACUUUCUAUAUGCCAGAGUUGAAGCUUUAGAUCUAUUUUGGGACCUAUCUUCUGAAAGCGCUCUGAUCUUUGUAGCAUGACAAACAAUUUGCUUUUGUUCCAGAGAAACCCAAUGCGAUGCUUUCCUUCUGAUGCGUUCAUCUACUCCUUUCAAUCUCUCACUGCAUUUAAACGGGAUUUUUGUUUUAAUUCUAUCAUCUCAUUUGCCUCUGUGAAUUUUAAGAGAACACCUGGAUUCAAUAGGAAGAUUUUAUCCAGCACAAGAAGUUGCUGUGUGGUGCUGUGUUUUGACAAGACAGGCACACGAUGCUCUUGAAAGAGAUGAAGAAAUACCAGAAAAGCAGAAAUACGCCAGCCAAAAACCUGAAGGCAUCCAUUCUCACGGCACAUUGGUGAUAAAGCAAUGAAAUAUAAGUAAAGUCUGGUGCUCUGGGAGCAAAAGAAGUUAAGGACUGUUGUAUUGUUUUGGGUGUUUUUUUGUUUGUUUUAAUAAAAAGAAGUUAGAAAAGCUCCCUGGAAGAACUCCUGUGCAGCACAAGCAAAGCUGUGGCCCAGAACCUGACAGAGCAUGGCAGCAGAGCAGGCAGCUCAGGCUGCAAUCUGCCCCAGGACCCUCAGGCUCCCACCAGCAGGGCUCCAGUCAGCACAGCCAAACUCCACGGCUCAGUCACUCAGUUGGGCCAGUAGAGGGUGAAAGGAAAUAGUCCUCAAAUUAGGACUGAGCAAACACCAAGCCAUUUAGCACUUUGUCCUCACUAAGCGCCCCAUUUCACCUACAGCAUUCCAAGAGAUUGUUCAAGACCCUAAUGCACCUACCUAGCAUUGGCUAUGAACUGGUUCAUUUUUAAUUGUAAUCAGCAGCGAACCUCUUCCCCACAGAUACUUGUCAGCCCCUCACAAUGCAGGAAGUGGCUUAUGAGCUGCUCGAAAUGGCUAAGUACCUGUUAUCAGGCAGCCUUCCUGUGUGACCUCACCCCAAUUGCUAAUAAGCUAAACCCCUUACCAUUUCUUAGCAAAAGCUUAAGUGCUUCAGCUUCCAUUCACCCCGCCUUAAGCUGUGAAACUGGAAUAGUAAUACUCAGCCUUGCGUAACACAAGUUUCA